GGGACUGUAGUUUACUGGUGAAAAUUCCACGUUGUGGUCGUGCAGACCUGUGCUCGAAUCCCAGCAGCUACA
rfam:Picea glauca, whole genome shotgun sequence.